rnacentral:rRNA from 1 species
UACGAAGGGGGCUAGCGUUGCUCGGAAUCACUGGGCGUAAAGCGCACGUAGGCGGAUUGCUAAGUCAGGGGUGAAAUCCUGGAGCUCAACUCCAGAACUGCCUUUGAUACUGGCGAUCUUGAGUCCGGGAGAGGUGAGUGGAACUGCGAGUGUAGAGGUGAAAUUCGUAGAUAUUCGCAAGAACACCAGUGGCGAAGGCGACUUCCUGGCCUGUUCUUGACGCUGAGGCGCGAAAGCUGGGGGGAGCAAACGGG